GAGCGGCCGAUAUCUGAUUAGCUAGUUGGCGGGGUAAAAGCCCACCAAGGCGACGAUCAGUAGCUGGUUUGAGAGAACGACCAGCCACACUGGGACUGAGACACGGCCCAGACUCCUACGGGAGGCAGCAGUGGGGAAUUUUGGACAAUGGGGGCAACCCUGAUCCAGCAAUGCCGCGUGAGUGAAGAAGGCCUUCGGGUUGUAAAGCUCUUUUGUCCGGAACGAAACGGUGAGCGCUAAUACCGCUUACUAAUGACGGUACCGGAAGAAUAAGCACCGGCUAACUACGUGCCAGCAGCCGCGGUAAUACGUAGGGUGCAAGCGUUAAUCGGAAUUACUGGGCGUAAAGCGUGCGCAGGCGGUUGUGCAAGACAGAUGUGAAAUCCCCGGGCUUAACCUGGGAAUUGCAUUUGUGACUGCACGGCUAGAGUGUGUCAGAGGGGGGUAGAAUUCCACGUGUAGCAGUGAAAUGCGUAGAUAUGUGGAGG
rnacentral:rRNA from 1 species